rnacentral:lncRNA from 1 species
UUCUUCAUAUGUGGCCAAUGGAAGUGUUCUAUCCCACGUAAAGGUGGUAAACCUUUAGGGGACUCACUAAAAACAUCCACAUAAUCCUGCAAAAGACAUUGAAACACACUAGGCAAAUAUCCAUUAAUGUUAGAUAGAGAUAAAUAGUUUUGCCUAAACCUCACAAGGAUACAAGGUUGUUUAUUGAGUAGGGCUCUCAAGGAUACAAGGUUGUUUAUUGAGUAGGGCUCUCCGCACAACUUUUUUUGUUGUAAUCAAUUUUUUCUCUCUAGUUUUUCCACUUGCGGAUUCACUCACCUUUGGGCCAUUUAAAUUUUGACUUUUUUCACUACUAGCCUCUUUUCUCUCUGUCUUUUUUAUUUUUCCUUUCUCCCUCACCCCCUCACAAAAUUUCAUCAUUUUUAAUUGAUCUUUAUAUACAUCAUUGGGAUUUAAAGGAGCAAGAGUGAAUUUUCGGCCUUUAAACACAAGAGAGUAUCUAUUGAGCUUGCCUUGGUGUGUAACAUCACGAUCAAAUUGCCAAGGCCGUCCAAGGAGCAGGUGUGCCACAUGCAUUGGGACCACAUCACACCAUACCUCAUCCUCGUAAUUCCCGAGCUUAAAAGUGAUCAAGGACUGUUUUGUAACCUUAACUUCUGAGCAUUCAUUAAGCCACUGAAGGUGAUACGGCUUAGGGUGCUCGAUACAAGGUAACUUUAAGGAAUCCACCAAAUAACUGCUAACUACAUUUGAACAACUCCCACUAUCAAUCAUAAGUGAACAUAAGUUACCUUUUAUAAAACACCUAGAAUGGAAAAUAUUGGUCCUUUGGUUAUCACAAUCGUCUCCCACUUGGAUGUUAAAGGUGCGGCGGAGCAUCUUAUUAUUAUUAUUUUUUGGACUACCUGCAAAACAAACACUCAACACUCAAAAAGAAAAAUUAGCAAACCUCACCGUUAAUCACUCAAAAAGAAAAAUUCAAAUUCUCAAUGAGGUAGAAUUCAAUCUUGUGAGUUCUUUAUCGGAGUUUAUAUCAACCAAUUAGAGAGUGUGAACCAAACUACCAAAGAAUCCUAAUUUGCACUAGGAUGCCAAAAACUGACGAGACACCAAUUGAUUUGUGUUGCACCGAGGAAGGAUUGUGCACACGUUUAAAUCCUACUAACACAAGAAACAAGAAGGUGUUAGAUAUUGUAAAGGAGAAUAAAAAGCAAACAAAUGAAAACCUACAGCUAAGAAUCAAUAAAAAUUGUUGAAAACAGAAAACCCGAAAAACUGCGGAGUAACUUGACAACUUCGUUCGAGGUGUUCCCGAUCUCUAAAAAUCACGAAAUUAAAUCUGGAAUGUCCUUAAAUAUUGAAUUUUUGAUCUGGAAAUUUUGGGCACCAAAUUCAACCCGCUGAAUCUCUUUUUUAAUUUUUUAUUGAAUUUCGUCUUUUUUGAUUUUUUGACUUUUUUGACUGAUUUUUUUGCGGGAAUAAUUUUUUUAUAUUCAAUCACAGUGCCAUAAAUAUGUAUGUAAAAUUUCAGAUCAAUCGGACAACGUUUAC